UGAGACAUUUCCAUUCCUUAUAUGCAAAUGAACGGGGCGUGGUUAGCUCACAGGUCCAGAGACCCAGACCAAAGCAACAGCACCACACUGACUACUCGAGAAGAGGAAGAAAAUGGAGGAGAAGGACUAUAAGGCAAACUACUAAAUGAAAAUAACAACAUGGAAGACGUUGGUGGGCUCCAAGACUUAACUGGUUCUUAUCUGGUCUUCUCUGGUCUUAUCUGGUCCGCCCAAUGCUGCUCUUCUGAGAGCAACCGCUCUGACAGCUCUCUGUAGUCUCUACUGGGAGCUAAAAAGUCAGCUAAAAGUCCUUCUGGAGGUCCUUCAACGCUACACAAUUACACCCAGUCUGAGAGUAAAAUAUGUCUCGAAGGCUUUGCAUUUGAACUCCUAUGACUGGUUGCGGACUUGAAGGGAACGCCUUCCUGACAUCCAGGAAAAAGUUGUAUUGGACAGGCAGUAGAGAUCUACUGGAAACAGUGGAGAGGGAGGAGAUGAUAUGCAGCAUACGGCCCAGCCGGAUGGUUGCUGCUCCGUGUGGAACGUGUCCUAUCAGGUGUAACAUCUACCAAUGGUUGUACAUGACAGAGACCUCCUCCACCUCUUUGCUGUCUUACUAGUCAAUCUUUCUGAUCAGGUCCUUUCCUAAAUAGUGAAAGGAUCAUGCCAGCCCACAUCAAACACCUGAUCAAGAGCUUGUGAACCUCACUGCUGCAGACACCUGUGUGAUAUUCCACUCUGACUGGAACCCUCAAAAUGACCUGCAGGCUCAAGCUCGGUUCGUCAUCGUUUUGGCCAGUCUAAGGCGGUGGAGGUGUACCGUCUGAUCACUAGAAACUAUGAGAGGGAAAUGCUGGAUAAAGCUAGUCUGAAGCUCGGGCUGGACCGUCCCGUCCUGCAGAGCAUGAGUGGCAACAACAACAACGGGCCGGUCCAGCAGUUCUCCAAGAAGGAGAUCGAGGACCUGCUGAGGAAAGGAGCCUACGCCGCCAUCAUGGACGAGAACGACGAAGGCAAUCGCUUCUGCUAGGAGGACAACGACCAGAUCCUGCAGCGAAGAGCCACCAUCAACACCAUCACCAGUUUGCUUCAAGCAGUGGCUGCACGAGAAAGACGUGGAGGACCAAGAGAUGCUGGCCAGAUUGGCAAAGACCGGAAGAUACAUAACAGAGAAGAUAAUGGAUAUUAACAAGAAAAAGAAAAACAUUUUUAAUAAUUUCUUUGUUGCUGUUUACAUUUUGAAUUAUAUUUGUUAUUUUUAAAUCAAAUGCAUCUAUUUUAAAUCUGUGUAUCUACCGUCCAAUUGUUUUUCUUUAUUAAACACGUAAACGGAAGAGCGUUUGAGAGGCCUUUUUGCUUUUUGCUUUUUACCUUACUAAAUGGUCUAAUGGUCAGUGCAACGGGGGGCGGGACCAAACUCACGGAAGUGAUUUCAAAACAAAAGCGGUGAUAAUAUUAUAAACAAAGGGAAACAAGGUGAAUUUAUCGAUCACAACGAAAACGGCCAAGACACAUAUUGAGCCCAGAAAAUGGAUGUUAU